rnacentral:rRNA from 1 species
AUUGAACGCUAGCGGGAUGCCUUACACAUGCAAGUCGAACGGAGUGGCGAACGGGCGAGUAAUGUAUCGGAACGUGCCCGUUAGCGGGGGAUAACUAAGCGAAAGAGUCGCUAAUAACGCAUACUAUUGGAUCGGCGGAUACCGGAUUAGCUAGUUGGUGGGGUAACGGCUCACCAAGGCGACGAACCAUAGCUGGUUUGAGAGGACGACCAGCCACACUGGGACUGAGACACGGCCCAGACUCCUACGGGAGGCAGCAGUGGGGAAUUUUGGACAAUGGGCGAAACCCUGAUGCAGCCAUGCCGCGUGUACGAUGAAGGCCCUAGGGUUGUAAAGCACUUUUGGCAGGGAAGCGGUACCUGCAGAAUAAGCACCGGCUAACUACGUGCCAGCAGCCGCGGUAAUAC